CCCAUUCAUACUGGAUAAAUUUUAGUCGCAUCCGGUCCGUCAAAUGUCUUAUGAUCUAUAGAGCCCUUUUGAUUUUUCUAUGGCAACAUUUGCUAUGCUGACGUCAUUGCCACGUCAUUACUGUCAGUCAGACAGAAAUAAAAGAAAAAUGGAUGCCGUUCAGACGUACACGCAUUAUUUGGAACUGAAAAUUACGUAAUUUAUCGACCUGCUGGCUUGUAUUUGUUAUAAAUCAUAAAAAAAUUAUGGAAAACAUCAUGAACAAUAAUGAAACAAACCGAACCUUUAGCUACAAUAAUAAAAUGACCCCAUGACGCCAGUGGAACUACGUGGUUUUCUUUCAUGAUGAUUUAAUGAUACCACAAUGGAAUUAGCCAAGUUUUCGCCGUAUUGGGUGCUAGAUGCCCCUUGGAGUUAAGCCCCAGUGCCACUAUACUACCUUACCAGUUAUGUGUGGGUGUCCCAAGGCACCCCAGAGAUGCAUAGGGCCUUCACAAGCUCACGCCACGCCUUCCUAUCUUCAGCAACCCUCGUGACCUCGCUCCACCAGCUCAAACCUGCCACUCACAGCUCCUUUUCGACGGACCGCUUCCAUGAGUAGACAAGGCACCGACGAUCACGGCUUGCAUCACCUGUACUGCUAUGUAAUAUAGUAUGCGGAACAACACUGCCAUUAUACUAGGAUCAACGUCCUGCCCCUUCCCCGGCUGUGUACAAAUUGGAACUCCAUUUGCAUGCCCCUUUGACUGAGCAACUUGUGUAUGUGUGUGUGCUCGAAACACAUUCACUUGCAACAGAAUGACUCCCAGGCUGACCUGGCUCAGUUCCUGUAUGUCCGAUCUACAUCCACAAUGGUUUCAAUGAAAGAGUGUAAAUUCUUCUCCAUGUACCAUCACUUCUAACGCCUACACUGACUACACCAGAUAUGAUCAUCCCUCAACGUGUCCCACAUAAAGAUACCUUUCAAAAGUCAUCAGGAAGAACAUAAUAUCUUUUCCCAUAUUUGCCUGAAUAAUCCUAACUAGAAGUUAUUUCUCUAUUCUAUUUUUCCUGCAUGGAGUGGCGCUUUUCCGUCUAAUGGAACCAACAAGAACAUGUAUGCUCUGGGUUUUUUUUGUGCACCUUUCCAACAUUACUAAUAAAGCAUUU